UCUUCAAAUAUGAGAAGAGACGUCUAUCAAUUACUGUCAAUUGUCAUUGUCUGAUGAUCUUUGUUAUGUUUGGUUAUGUUGUUGACAACUUUUGAUAGGAUAAGGAUAUUUUAAACACAUUUUAAAAGAAAAACAACCUUAGUAGUUAGUAGAAAGGAAAGCAAUUUUAGAUUCCAACCGUAUUAUUACUUGUGAAAUAUUAUCAUCUAGUGGGAAAACCGCAGUGAUUGUGCCUUCAAACGGGCAAUUUGAAAGGACAACCCCACCAAAAACCAUUAUAAUUGUAAAUUGAAAUGAUUGAUAUUAAAAAUGUUUGUACCUAUGUAAUUGUACAUGUAAAGCUGGAAAUUCAGGCAUACCAUGGACAAUUUGAAAAAAUUAAGCACCACAGACAUCAAACAACAGUGGGGAUAAUUUAAAAAACAAUAAUACAACAUAGUCAACAAUAAAGUCCUACCAGUCUGCUGAUAAAUGGGCUACUGAUAUUGUACUAAAUUAUGAUUUAGCUCUAUUUUACUCAAAUAAUGUUGAAGUAAGCUGCAGUAACUCUGUUGAAAUAUCUUUAGCUAUGCUAAACCAAACUGGAGAAGCAUGAAAAAAGCUGACGUGACUGCAAGUAACUGGGACAAUUUAUUGCCAUUUAUUUACUUAUGAUAAAAAUAAAAGCCUAAGUUGGCCACUUAAAGUCAA